rnacentral:rRNA from 1 species
AUUAGCCAUGCAUGUCUCAGUACAAGCCAAAUUUAAGGUGAAACCGCGAAAGGCUCAUUAAAUCAGUUAUGGUUCCUUAGAUCGUACCCACAUUUACUUGGAUAACUGUGGUAAUUCUAGAGCUAAUACAUGCAAAUAGAGCUCCGACCGGAGACGGAAGGAGCGCUUUUAUUAGAUCAAAACCAAUCGGUGGCGGGCUUGCUCGUCAUCGUACAACUUGGUGACUCUGAAUAACUUUACGCUGAUCGCACGGUCUCGCACCGGCGACGCAUCUUUCAAAUGUCUGCCUUAUCAACUGUCGAUGGUAGGUUCUGCGCCUACCAUGGUUGUAACGGGUAACGGGGAAUCAGGGUUCGAUUCCGGAGAGGGAGCCUGAGAAACGGCUACCACAUCCAAGGAAGGCAGCAGGCGCGCAAAUUACCCACUCCCGGCACGGGGAGGUAGUGACGAAAAAUAACGAUACGGGACUCAUCCGAGGCCCCGUAAUCGGAAUGAGUACACUCUAAACCCUUUAACGAGGAUCAAUUGGAGGACAAAUUGUUUCCAGAUUAGCCAUGCAUGUCUCAGUA